CUACCUUCUACCAUGAACUCACACCAAAGAGCUUUCUCUUAACAGAAUAACACCUCCGUAGAGCAAUGCUGACAAAUGAAGUUCGCGGUCUCUAAAGUCUCGCGUUGUUUGCGCUUCCGGUUUCCCGGAGCCUAACAGGGAAUGCGGGGCCACCUGACCAGAAGAGUCCAGGAGAGGGGAGAAGGCCUUUCUGUGUGUGGCUGCCUUCACGCUUCUUCCCUGGCUUUGCCCGCCACCCUGCCUAGUUCUGGCCCACGUAUGGAGAGAUUCUACCCCAUGUACUUUUUCCUUAGUCUCUGUAAGACCUUCAGAAAAGGAGAUGGUUUCCCACAGUCCCUAACUAGCAGAAAAUGGUGAAAGAAGACUUCCAGUUUUUGGCCCAGCACAUAAGGAGCUUGGGAGUCAUCACUCCAUCUUAAAAAGCUGAACAAACUGAAAAAUCAACAACUCUUUUGAGAUCCACCAGAGAAGUGAGGUCAUAGGACAAAUGGCUAACUUCCAAGUUGGAGAUACAGAAAGGUGAAUAAUAUAAUCAAAAUAUACCAGAGCAGGGACCUAUGAGCAAACUUUCAUGGGAACCAGUGCCAGGCAACAAGACUUUAUUAAGGACCCACUAAAUUCCAGUAUGUAGGCACUGUGAUAGGCUGGAAAAACAGAUGAAAGGCCUCAAUGUGCCUGGGGCUCAUGAGAUGGACAGAGACGCUGCUAACUGGAUGGAAAGGAAAGUGAUAAAGGGAGGUAUCCCCUGAUGAUAACAGCUACCAGGUAUUGGAUACUAACCAUAUGUGAGUUACUGUAGCAAGUUCUUUGUAAGCAUCAUCUCACUGAACCCUUACAAUAGCACCGUUGCUUGCCCCUCUUUAAAGAUUGGGAAGCUGGCCACACUAGCCUUCGGGGACAGGCCAUGUGAGUCCGGAGCUGGCAGUCUUAUCCUCUGUAAUCUGUGCCUGCCAUUCUCAUGUCACUUGUUGAGUUGACUGUAUUAAGCCAGCUACAGUACGUGUCCAUUUUUACUCUCUCGAUACAUACAUUUUCUCGUUAUUGUUAAACUUAUCUAUGUGUUGAGUAUGUUCCUCUCCAGUAGAUA